rnacentral:rRNA from 1 species
UACGAAGGGGGCUAGCGUUGCUCGGAAUCACUGGGCGUAAAGCGCACGUAGGCGGAUUGCUAAGUCAGGGGUGAAAUCCUGGAGCUCAACUCCAGAACUGCCUUUGAUACUGGCGAUCUCGAGUCCGGGAGAGGUGAGUGGAACUGCGAGUGUAGAGGUGAAAUUCGUAGGUAUUCGCAAGAACACCAGUGGCGAAGGCGGCUCACUGGCCCGGUACUGACGCUGAGGUGCGAAAGCGUGGGGAGCAAACAGG